GUGAAUAUGUGUGUGUGCGUGUCAGCUGAUGGAGAACAUGGGGAUCUCCGGAUUUCUCUGAAAGGGGAUUUUGAAAGGGAAAUCUCUUACUUUGGUUAGAACACACCCCUCCUCUGGGCUUCCCCGUUUUAGCCACCCAGUGCUGGACAUGGUAAUAAUUGGUACACGCUCUCUCUUUUUUUUUUUCUUUUUUUUUUGACACACACACACACACACACACACACACACACACACUUGUGAGCUGAAGCAGGACUACAGUAGGUGCAGUAAUGGACUGGGGUAAAGCCUGGGCUCUGGCGCUCAGGGAAGCACUGGUGUGUGCUGUGCGUUCCAGACUCAAGGCUCUCCGUCGUCUGGUCUACAGAGAGCCUCCGAGAUUCUUCCGCCGAACCGGAGAGGAAUAGAAUGAAGUGGAAUAAAAAGGAGCAGAAUAAAAUCAAGUGGAAGAGAAUGGAACAAAAUGGAGCAGGCCAAAUUAGAAUAGAACGGGACGGAGUCGAACGGAGCAGAGUGGAAUCGGACAGAAUGGAGCGGAGAGGAAUGGAGCAGAACGGAACAGGAUGGAGCAGAACGGAGUGGGUAGAAUAGAGCGAAGCGGAAUAGAACGGAGCGGAACGGAAAAGAAUGGAGCGGAAUAGAACGGAACCGAUAGAAUGGAGCGGAGUAGAACGGAACAGAACAGGAAAAGAAUGGAGCGGAACAGAACGGAACCGGUAGAAUGGAGCGGAAUAGAACGGAACCGGUAGAAUGGAGCGGAACAGAACAGAACAGGAAAGAAUGGAGCGGAGUAGAACGGAACCGAUAGAAUGGAGCGGAGUAGAACGGAACCAGUAGAACGGAACAGAACGGAAAAGAAUGGAGCGGAGUAGAACGGAACCGGUAGAAUGGAGUGGAACAGAACAGAACGGAAAGAAUGGAGUGGAAUAGAACGGAACCGGUAGAACGGAGCAGAGUAGAACGGAACCGGUAGAACGGAGCGGAAUAGAACGGAACCGGUAGAACGGAGCGGAAUAGAACGGAACCGGUAGAACGGAGCGGAAUAGAACGGAACCGGUAGAAUGGAGCGGCAUAGAUCGGAACCGGUAGAACGGAGCGGAGUAGAACGGAACAGAAAAGAAUGGAGUGGAACGGAACAGGGCGGAAUAGAGUGGAGCAGAAUAGAACGGAACGGAGUGGAAUAGAGUGGAGCAGAAUAGAACGGAACGGAGUGGAAUAGAGUGGAGCAGAAUAGAACGGAACGGAGUGGAAUAGAGUGGUAUUUAGUGAGUAUUAGUAUUUAAUGGCUGGUAUUUGGGUUUGUCUCUGUGACUGUACAGACGUGCGCAGACUGUAAUGCUGCUGCUGCUGCUCCACAUUGCUGAAUAAAUGAGAUCCAGAGUACUGCGCUCACCUGCUGGAACGUCUCCACAGUGCUACAACAGCUUCUGUACAGAACGUUUCAAACACGUAGCGUCGACCUCAGAUCCAGCUCAUACUGAUUUCCUGCUUCUGCGUGCUCUCCUCCUCCUCCUCCUCCUCCUCCUUCUCCUCCUUCUACUUCUCCUCCUCCUUCUCCUCCUUCUCCUCCUUCUCCUCCUUCUCCACACUCACUCCCUUACUGCAGGAGUUCUCGAGUAGCCGGCUCUAAUUCAGAAUAUCA
ensembl:lncRNA